rnacentral:rRNA from 1 species
UACGUAGGGUGCGAGCGUUAAUCGGAAUUAUUGGGCGUAAAGGGUGCGUAGGCGGUUUGGUAAGUCUGAUGUGAAAUCUAUGGGCUCAACUCAUAGUCUGCAUCGGAAACUGCCGGGCUUGAGUGUGGGAGAGGUGAGUGGAAUUCCUGGUGUAGCGGUGAAAUGCGUAGAUAUCAGGAGGAACACCUGUGGCGAAAGCGGCUCACUGGACCAUAACUGACGCUGAUGCACGAAAGCUAGGGGAGCAAACAGG